UACGGGGGGGGGCAAGCGUUUGUUCGGAAUUACUGGGCGUAAAGGGCUCGUAGGCGGUCUGUCGCGUCUGCUGUGAAAACUCGGGGCUAACCCCGGGCCUGCAGUGGGUACGGGCAGACUAGAGUGCGGUAGGGGAGACUGGAAUUCCUGGUGUAGCGGUGGAAUGCGCAGAUAUCAGGAGGAACACCGAUGGCGAAGGCAGCUCGCUGGGACGGUACCGACGCUGAGGUCGCGAAGCGUGGGAGCGAACAGG
rnacentral:rRNA from 1 species